AGUGGAGCAAUCCAUGAGUAAAGUGGCGUACGGGUGAGUAACACGUGACUAACCUACCCUCGAGUGGGGAAUAACCUCGGGAAACCGGGGCUAAUACCGCAUAACAUCGAUAGGUGCAAUUCCUUUCGAUCAAAGUAGUAAUGCGCUUGAGGAGGGGGUCGCGGCUGAUUAGCUAGUUGGCGGGGUAACGGCCCACCAAGGCAAUGAUCAGUAUCCGGCCUGAGAGGGCGCACGGACACACUGGGACUGAAACACGGCCCAGACUCCUACGGGAGGCAGCAGUGGGGAAUUUUGCACAAUGGGGGAAACCCUGAUGCAGCAACGCCGCGUGGAGGAUGAAGCCCUUUGGGGCGUAAACUCCUUUCGAUCGGGACGAUAAUGACGGUACCGGAAGAAGAAGCACCGGCUAACUCUGUGCCAGCAGCCGCGGUAAUACAGAGGGUGCGAGCGUUGUUCGGAAUUAUUGGGCGUAAAGGGCGCGUAGGCGGUGCGGUAAGUCUGCGGUGAAAUCUCCCGGCUCAACUGGGAGGCUGCCGUGGAAACUGCCGUG
rnacentral:rRNA from 1 species